UUGAGAUUAACGGGGCGGCGCGAGCCGUCCCAACCAAACCCCCUGUGAACAAACCCCGUCCUCGGCCGUCGCCUUGGGCAAAUUUACAACUGUCGUCCUAUGUCCAGAAAGUAAAACAAAAGAGUA
rnacentral:misc_RNA from 1 species